rnacentral:lncRNA from 1 species
AAUAUCUUCAGCACUUGAAUGUGUCUGACAGUUUGUUUUUGUCUAUGGUGUGUCCUUGAAGGUGAUUGGUGACAUGGACGGGGCAGAGCCUCCACUCAGCACUUUGCCCCGCCCAGGUCAGAGGACACCAGAGGUGAACCAGGAAGACGAAGGGACAAGCUCCACCCUCCAACUCAGAGAGAGGAAAAGGAGGAAGCCUGUUUGGCGUACUCAUCGCGUCGAGCCAGUAGGAGACAGUGGGCAUGGCUCGAGCUGCACUACAAGGCCUUAGCCACUAAUGUCACUGUGAAGUGAAACAAAGCAGGAGAGGACACCCAGGUAUGAACCGGGACUUGGCUUCUCUCUUCCUCUAGUGAAAAAAAUAUUUCUUCACAAUAGCACAAGAACAGAGCCAGACGUUACGACGCAAUGGAUCCCUGACGACCCUCAGAAGUGAGGAAUUAUUUACCACCGCCUGCGUACAUCUGACGACUGCUGCCUUCACAUCACGCUGGAAACCAAGCAGCCAUAGCCUUUUGUCUGUUCAUCAGCUCAACCCUGCUAGAAUAGUGAUCAGUGGGUGGUUUAGUGGCUGGGUAGCGUUAGCUCUGACACUCUGAGCUGUCCUCGCUGUCACAUUGAAGAUGACUGGUCGACUAGUCGACACUUUGAGCCACUGGGCAAGGGGGCUAUGAAUGGAGCGGGGGAGAGCGAGCGAUCCCUUGUCGUCAUUGUCGUAGCCACAGGGCGCAGUGUGGAGGGCACCAGCCAAAACAUUAUACUGGGAGUUUAGGCUUGUUGUUUUGCAUAAAUGUUGAAUCACUCUAGCGUGUUUUUAUUAUGGCCCACCAUCACUGCUGCUAAUAUUGAUUUAAUUCUCUAUUUAUGUUGAAAUAGCCUCACAGGACAUUAUUUGACAAACAUUAUGAAUAUGAAUACAACACAGCUAAAUGAAACGACAUUGAUUGAUUGAUGGAUUGAUUGCCUUGUUCGCAUAGCAUCUUGGGACAGUGAUUGUGAAGCAUAUUUCUCAAUGUGAGAAAAGAGAGAAAGCGAGAAACGGGUAGAAAAAAAAGGUUGCAACAACUUUAACAAAACAUCACAUGCGAACAGGGCCCUCGGCUUCAUUUGCAUACGCUGACAUUUGGCGAAAAAAUAUUUCAACGUUAGACUGAGGUGUAAUGAAACGCUGCCACCAGCCAGUCAAGGAAUAAUGUUACCAUAAAGGUAACAUGUCC